GACGAACGCUGGCGGCGUGCUUAACACAUGCAAGUCGAACGGAAAGGCCCUGCUUUUGUGGGGUGCUCGAGUGGCGAACGGGUGAGUAACACGUGAGUAACCUGCCCUUGACUUUGGGAUAACUUCAGGAAACUGGGGCUAAUACCGGAUCGGAGCUCCUGCUGCAUGGUGGGGGUUGGAAAGUUUCGGCGGUUGGGGAUGGACUCGCGGCUUAUCAGCUUGUUGGUGGGGUGGUGGCUUACCAAGGCUUUGACGGGUAGCCGGCCUGUGAGGGUGACCGGCCACAUUGGGACUGAGAUACGGCCCAGACUCCUACGGGAGGCAGCAGUGGGGAAUAUUGCACAAUGGGCGGAAGCCUGAUGCAGCAACGCCGCGUGCGGGAUGACGGCCUUCGGGUUGUAAACCGCUUUCGCCUGUGACGAAGCGUGAGUGACGGUAAUGGGUAAAGAAGCACCGGCUAACUACGUG
rnacentral:rRNA from 1 species